rnacentral:rRNA from 1 species
GAUGAACGCUGGCGGUAUGCUUAACACAUGCGAGUCGAACGGUCACUUCGGUGAUAGUGGCGGACGGGUGAGUAACGCGUGAGAAUCUGUCUUCAGGUCGGGGACAACAGUUAGAAAUGACUGCUAAUACCGGAUAUGCCUUAUGGUGAAAGAUUUAUUGCCUGAAAAAGAGCUCGCGUCAGAUUAGCUAGUAGGUGGUGUAAGAGACUACCUAGGCGACGAUCUGUAGCUGGUCUGAGAGGACGAUCAGCCACACUGGAACUGAGACACGGUCCAGACUCCUACGGGAGGCAGCAGUGGGGAAUUUUCCGCAAUGGGCGAAAGCCUGACGGAGCGAUACCGCGUGAGGGACGAAGGCUUUUGGGUCGUAAACCUCUUUUCUCAAGGAAGAUAAUGACGGUACUUGAGGAAUAAGCAUCGGCUAACUCUGUGCCAGCAGCCGCGGUAAU